rnacentral:rRNA from 1 species
GAUGAACGCUGGCGGCGUGCCUAAUACAUGCAAGUCGAGCGAACAGAUAAGGAGCUUGCUCCUUUGACGUUAGCGGCGGACGGGUGAGUAACACGUGGAUAACCUACCUAUAAGACUGGGAUAACUUCGGGAAACCGGAGCUAAUACCGGAUAACAUAUUGAACCGCAUGGUUCAAUAGUGAAAGGCGGCUUUGCUGUCACUUAUAGAUGGAUCCGCGCCGUAUUAGCUAGUUGGUAAGGUAACGGCUUACCAAGGCAACGAUACGUAGCCGACCUGAGAGGGUGAUCGGCCACCCUGGAACUGAGACACGGUCCAGACUCCUACGGGAGGCAGCAGUAGGGAAUCUUCCGCAAGGGGCGAAAGCCUGACGGAGCAACGCCGCGUGAGUGAUGAAGGUCUUCGGAUCGUAAAACUCUGUUAUCAGGGAAGAACAAAUGUGUAAGUAACUGUGCACAUCUUGACGGUACCUGAUCAGAAAGCCACGGCUAACUACGUG